rnacentral:rRNA from 1 species
AGCGUAGGCGGCGUGGUAAGUCAGAUGUGAAAUCCCGGGGCUCAACCCCGGAACUGCAUCCGAUACUGCCAUGCUAGAGGAUUGGAGAGGUAGCUGGAAUUCUUGGUGUAGCAGUGAAAUGCGUAGAGAUCAAGAGGAACACUCGUGGCGAAAGCGAGCUACUGGACAAUUCCUGCGCUGAGGCUCGAAGGCUAGGGUAGCGAAAG